rnacentral:piRNA from 1 species
CAAGUCCCUGUUCGGGCGACAAGCUUU